GGGGGAAAGAACAAUGAUUCGUAUAAAAAAGAAAGAAAACGAUAUUUUAAAAUGCAAUAUAAUAUACUCUCAUACAUUCUUACAUAAAUUGAUAAAGUGUUAUUUACCCUUGAAUGCAGCGUAUUUCACCCAUACUAUUCAAUAUAUCCAUUUUAACCUUCUCUCUUUUUAAAGCCUGAUAGUACCCUCUCUAAGAUCAAGGAGUUCCUUGUAUGUUCCCCAGUUCUUGUUCACAUUUAAUUUCUUGACUGGCCCUGCUUCAAUGGGGGAUCAUGAGGACUUUCUUUCUAGGACAUUUUUCAGUCUUGCCCAAACAACAUCAACAGCAGCAGCAAAUUAUUUGUACCCCACCAAAAUAAUUUUGUUGGGCGGCUUCCAACAAAAGAUUAAAAAUACAUUAAAAUGUCAGACAUUAAAAACUUCCCUAAACUAUAUAAGUUCUUCUGUAGAACACAGUUGAGGAAGCUGUUGCUCAUACUUCAAGUCCUGCUUGCGUUUUCACUUUGCUGUAGUAACUCUUUAAAUACUCAGCAAAAAGUCUCUAAUCCCCAAAGACACCAUAAGGGUAUGGAUCGAGGUUGCAGACAGCAUCUUUGCUGAGCCUCCUUCCCGGCAGAUGACAUUCUUGUGUGGGUCUUCUUGUUUCCAGAGGCCUCCUCCCAGGCUCCAGUCGAUAGACCGCCAUUUUCCAGUGUGUAUUCAUCAUUUCAUGCAGGAAAGACAGAAAGGAGGUUUUGUUAGAAGGGUACUGAGUAUCAGUAAUGUUAGACCCUCUUGUUGCCCCAGAAAUUAUCACCGCUGUUGGUGAAUAAAUUAUAAAAAAGAAGGAGGCUUUUUAUAACAGAGAAAUGGAACCAAACUGCUGCUGGGGGGUUGCCUGCUCCCCCCACUCAAGAAGAUUGCAGAGAGUCCUGCAAGGACCAGGACCCUGGGCAGGCAGGCAGCAUUGGCGACACCUGCUGCCCCAGCUAGGCAUACAUAACUAACCUCUACUGGAUUGGUGGGAAGAUGAAAUGGGAUAACCCUGUGCAAAGCUGCAAAGAAAGCAAAGUGACCUACCAGAUGCUUAGCUGCCGGGCGGAGUACAAAGUGGAGGCCAAAGCUUUUGGGAUGUACCCACCACUUGACUUGUGGGGCUAGAUGGCAAAGAGCCCUCAUUGUGGCCUCGAGAAGAGAAGAGGGUUAGAAGUCAAGGAGAACUCAGAAAUGAGCUCUUCAACAGAUUUCACCUUCCAGUGGC